rnacentral:rRNA from 1 species
ACUCAAAUGAAUUGACGGGGACCCGCACAACCAGUGGAGCGUGUGGUUUAAUUCGAGACAAAGCGAAAAACCUCACCAAGGCUUGACAUGCUAGAGUUCUAGCCUCCCCAAAAGGAGGCAAUCCGUAAGGAGACUAGCACAGGUGCUGCAUGGCUGUCGUCAGCUCGUGCCGUGAGGUGUUCCCUUAAGUGGGGAAACGAGUGCAACCCUCGUCCAAUGUUAAAUAUUCAUUGGAGACUGCCUCAUUUUUAUGAGGAGGAAGGAGAGGCAGAUGUCAAGUCAGCAUGGCCCUUAUGCCUUGGGCUACACACACCCUACAAUGGCGAAUAACAAUGGGUUGCGAGCUCGCAAGAGCAAGCUAAUCUCAGAAAUUUCGCCUCAGUUCAGAUAGGGGUCUGAAACUCGACCCCUUGAAGUUGGAAUUGGUAGUAAUCGCGGAUCAGCGGGCCGCGGUGAAUACGUUAUCGGGUCUUGUACACACCGCCCGU